AUGCACGCUGGCGGCGUGCCUAAUACAUGCAAGUCGAGCGAACAGACGAGGAGCUUGCUCCUCUGACGUUAGCGGCGGACGGGUGAGUAACACGUGGAUAACCUACCUAUAAGACUGGGAUAACUUCGGGAAACCGGAGCUAAUACCGGAUAACAUGUUGAACCGCAUGGUUCAACAGUGAAAGACGGUCUUGCUGUCACUUAUAGAUGGAUCCGCGCCGCAUCAGCUAGUUGGUAAGGUAACGGCUUACCAAGGCAACGAUGCGUAGCCGACCUGAGAGGGUGAUCGGCCACACUGGAACUGAGACACGGUCCAGACUCCUACGGGAGGCAGCAGUAGGGAAUCUUCCGCAAUGGGCGAAAGCCUGACGGAGCAACGCCGCGUGAGUGAAGAAGGUCUUCGGAUCGUAAAACUCUGUUAUUAGGGAAGAACAAAUGUGUAAGUAACUAUGCACGUCUUGACGGUACCUAAUCAGAAAGCCACGGCUAACUACGUG
rnacentral:rRNA from 1 species